rnacentral:rRNA from 1 species
GACGAACGCUGGCGGCGUGCUUAACACAUGCAAGUCGAACGGAAAGGCCCUGCUUGCAGGGUACUCGAGUGGCGAACGGGUGAGUAACACGUGGGUGAUCUGCCCUGCACUUCGGGAUAAGCCUGGGAAACUGGGUCUAAUACCGGAUAGGAGCCAUUUUUAGUGUGAUGGUUGGAAAGUUUUUUCGGUGUAGGAUGAGCUCGCGGCCUAUCGGCUUGUUGGUGGGGUAAUGGCCUACCAAGGCGGCGACGGGUAGCCGGCCUGAGUGGGUGGACGGCCACAUUGGGACUGAGAUACGGCCCAGGCGCCUACGGGAGGCAGCAGUGGGGAAUAUUGCACAAUGGGCGCAAGCCUGAUGCAGCGACGCCGCGUGGGGGAUGACGGCCUUCGGGUUGUAAACUCCUUUCGCUAGGGACGAAGCUUUUUGUGACGGUACCUAGAUAAGAAGCACCGGCUAACUACGUG